GAUGAAGAACGUAGCGAAAUGCGAUAAGUAAUGUGAAUUGCAGAAUUCAGUGAAUCAUCGAAUCUUUGAACGCACAUUGCGCCCGCCAGUAUUCUGGCGGGCAUGCCUGUCUGAGCGUCAUUUCAACCCUCAUGCCCCUAGGGCGUGGUGUUGGGGAUCGGCCAAAGCCCGCGAGAGACGGCCGGCCCCUAAAUCUAGUGGCGGACCCGUCGUGGCCUCCUCUGCGAAGUAGUGAUAUUCCGCAUCGGAGAGCGAUGAGCCCCUGCCGUUAAACCCCCAACUUUCCAAGGUUGACCUCAGAUCAGGUAGGAAUACCCGCUGAACUUAAGCAUAUCAAUAAGCGGAGGA
rnacentral:misc_RNA from 1 species